rnacentral:rRNA from 1 species
GACGAACGCUGGCGGCGUGCCUAACACAUGCAAGUCGAACGGAGUGGCGAACGGGGGAGUAACACGUGGGGGAUCUGCCUUGCACUUCGGGAUAAGCUUGGGAAACUGGGUCUAAUACCGGAUAUGGCAAGAUGAGCUCGCGGCCUAACAGCUUGUUGGUGGGGUAAUGGCCUACCAAGGCGUCGACGGGUAGCCGGCCUGAGAGGGUGUACGGCGACAUUGGGACUGAGAUACGGCCCAGACUCCUACGGGAGGCAGCAGUGGGGAAUAUUGCACAAUGGGCGGAAGCCUGAUGCAGCGACGCCGGGUUGGGGAUGAAGGCUUUCGGGUUGUAAACUCCUUUCGACAGGGACGCGGUACCUGUAUAAGAAGCACCGGCUAACUACGUGCCAGCAGCCGCGGUAAUAC